GACGUAGGGCGCGAGCGUUGUCCGGAUUUAUUGGGCGUAAAGAGCUCGUAGGCGGUUUGUCGCGUCUGCCGUGAAAGUCCGGGGCUCAACUCCGGAUCUGCGGUGGGUACGGGCAGACUAGAGUGAUGUAGGGGAGACUGGAAUUCCUGGUGUAGCGGUGAAAUGCGCAGAUAUCAGGAGGAACACCGAUGGCGAAGGCAGGUCUCUGAGCAUUAACUGACGCUGAGGAGCGAAAGCAUGGGGAGCGAACAGG
rnacentral:rRNA from 1 species